rnacentral:rRNA from 1 species
AGAGUUUGAUCAUGGCUCAGGAUGAACGCUAGCGACAGGCUUAACACAUGCAAGUCGAGGGGCAGCAUGAUUUGUAGCAAUACAGAUUGAUGGCGACCGGCGCACGGGUGAGUAACGCGUAUGCAACUUACCUAGUCAGAGGGGGAUAGCCCGGCGAAAGUCGGAUUAAUACCCCAUAAACAGGGUCCCGCAUGGGAAUAUUGUUAAAGAUUCAUUCGCUGAUAGAUAGGCAUGCG